rnacentral:rRNA from 1 species
AGAAGCCCUUAAGCACUCUGAUCGCACCUGAUCUUGUCUGAUCUCGGAAGUUAUACAGGGUCGUCCUGGUUAGUACUUGGAUCAGAGACUGCCUGGGAAUACCGGAUGCUGCUUUUU